rnacentral:rRNA from 1 species
AACCUAUGGUCUUUGUAGGUUCCAUUCAACAACUAGUUUGUUAGAUGGAUACUUACGGAUCAUCCUUCUGGAGGGUACUUCUGUUCUUGAUUGAGUGGUUGUACAAUUCAGAUCAUUUACUGUGAGUAAAUCAGAGUGUUCAAAGCAGGCUUUUAAGCUUGUAUGCAUUAGCAUGGAAUAAUAAGAUAGGACUUCAUCUUAUCUUGUUGGCCUAAGAUUGAAGUAAUGAUUAAAAGGGAUAGUUGGGGGUGCUAGUAUUUAACGGUCAGCGGUGAAAUGCGUAGACCCGUUAAAGACUAACUCAUGCGAAAGCAUU